AGGUGUGUGUUCACUUACUUCCCUUGUUUGCCCCCCUUCAUCUCUGAAAGCCUUGCGCUCAGUUGAAGAUUGUUACCUGGGGACCAUUAAAGUGCACUUCCCUGAUAGAUCCUCCAAAUAUCUCUAGGACCAAAUUGUAGGAAUAAAACACCAGGGUUAGUUAUACAUCCAUAUAGGCACUGCAUGUGGCAAUUUGCCAUCCUUU